rnacentral:rRNA from 1 species
AGGACGAACGCUGGCGGCGUGCUUAACACAUGCAAGUCGAACGGUGACGGAGGAGCUUGCUCCUCCCGAUCAGUGGCGAACGGGUGAGUAACACGUGAGUAACCUGCCCCAGACUCUGGAAUAACCCCGGGAAACCGGAGCUAAUACCGGAUACGAGACGGAGUCGCAUGGCUACCGUCUGGAAAGUUUUCGGUCUGGGAUGGACUCGCGGCCUAUCAGCUUGUUGGUGAGGUAACAGCUCACCAAGGCGACGACGGGUAGCCGGCCUGAGAGGGCGAUCGGCCACACUGGGACUGAGACACGGCCCAGACUCCUACGGGAGGCAGCAGUGGGGAAUAUUGCACAAUGGGCGAAAGCCUGAUGCAGCGACGCCGCGUGAGGGAUGAAGGCCUUCGGGUUGUAAACCUCUUUCAGCAGGGAAGAAGCGAAAGUGACGGUACCUGCAGAAGAAGCACCGGCUAACUACGUGCCAGUAGCCGCGGU